AUUGAACGCUGGCGGAAUGCUUUACACAUGCAAGUCGAACGGCAGCACGGACAUCGGUCUGGUGGCGAGUGGCGAACGGGUGAGUAAUGUAUCGGAACGUGCCCAGUCGUGGGGGAUAACGUAGUGAAAAUUACGCUAAUACCGCAUACGAUCUAUGGAUGAAAGCGGGGGAUCGCAAGACCUCGCGCGAUUGGAGCGGCCGAUAUCAGAUUAGGUAGUAGGUGGGGUAAAGGCCCACCAAGCAAACGAUCUGUAGCUGGUCUGAGAGGACGGCCCGCCUAACUGGAACUGAUACGCGGUCCGGACUCCUGAGGGAGGCAGCAGUGGGGAAUUUAGGACAAUGAGCGAAAGCCUGAUCCAGCCAUUCCGCGUGCAGGAUGAAGGCCCUCGGGUUGUAAACUGCUUUUGUACAGAACGAGAAGGUUUCUACUAAUACUAGGAGCUCAUGACGGUACUGUAAGAAUAAGCACCGGCUAACUACGUGCCAGCCGCCGCCGUAA
rnacentral:rRNA from 1 species